UGAGUAACCUGCCCCAGACUCUGGGAUAACCCCCGGGGAAACCGGAGCUAAUACCGGAUAUGACACGAAGAGGCAUCUCUAUCGUGUGGAAAGUUUUUCGGUCUGGGAUGGACUCGCGGCCUAUCAGCUUGUUGGUGAGGUAAUGGCUCACCAAGGCGACGACGGGUAGCUGGU
rnacentral:rRNA from 1 species